AUGCAAUUUGCAAAGGACAAGUUAUCUCUCAGGUAUGCUAUCGGCCCCAAGUCUGAGCACAUUAGUUUUCUUAAACCCAAGUUACUAGAUUACUUCAGAAAUGCUGCUUUUAUUGGUGUAAAGCGACAACCUUUCGUGUUGAAAGAUUGGCAGCUCUCAAUCCAGAGUUUACUUCUUUUAGUUGAUGAUCUAAGUAAAAAUUACAGUGUUAACUUCAUUAGAACGCGACUUCUGAGUCAAGAUGUGCUUGAAAACACUUUCUCCACCUUGCGUCAACAACAUGGCUGCUGUGACAAUCCCACCUCGAAUCAGCUUGAGGGUGGUCUCAGAAUGAGUUCCCUCUCCUCCCUUAUGAAGUUAACUUCCUCCAGUAAUUGUGAAGAAGAAAUGGAAAAGGCAGUUAUAACCCUUAAUAAGUUGCCCCCUCAACUUUUUAAUAAGAAAAAGAGUGCUGUACCUAAAGAGGAUCUAACAGCUGAUGAAAUGAUUGGUGUUUUAAAUGAGAACGCCAAAUUAGAUGAAGUUGAAGAAAGUGCACUGUACUACUGUUGUGGAUUUUUAGUUCGUCAAUUUUUACGGAAGCAUAAGUGUCCUAUUUGUGAAUUCAAAUUGUUAGUAGACCCAGAUGAGAGAAUGUUAACGGAAAAUUACCAGCUGUUCAUGUAUUUCAAGGCGCACAGUAGCAAACUUGGCUCAGAUUUUGGUAAAUUGAAAGCACCAUCGUACGAGAGUUUUGAGGAAUUAAAAAAAAUUGAUAACGUUUUCUAUCAAACAUUUUCUGCUCACUCGCAUGAGAGGAAUAUUGCGUUAAAAAUCAGGUUGGCCAUCGAUGAACUUGGUUUAAGGUUGAAUUUAUGCUCACAAGAGAUUGAAGAUGAAUUUCUGUCAUCAAUCAUCAGGAUUCGUAUUUUAUGGGAAGUCCGAUUUAUGAAUCAGAAAUUUGAGGAAGACAGGAUUGAAGAACAGCAUAAAAAAAAAUUGAAGAAAUUGCAGGGUAAAGAUGUAGUAGAAAAGAAGCAGAAGAAAAAAGGAAGUAGUGGCGAGUGUGCAGGGGCAUCCAGGGUUUCAGCACUGACUGAAAAGAGAGAACAUGCAAGUACUAGCCAGAGUAAAGUGGUGCAGAAAGAACCUGUUGAGAAUGAAGAUUGCAAAGGGGAAAAAAUCCAAAGUAGAAGUGAACCAAAAGGUGAAGCAGAUAGCCAUAAUUGUAAAAAAAAAGAGAAGGGAAGAGUUGGAACUUGGCAAGUUUUAACAAUGAGAAAUGAUGAUGAAUAA
rnacentral:lncRNA from 1 species